rnacentral:lncRNA from 1 species
CGGGCUUUAAAGGGCCCAAUUUAUAAUCAACCUAUGUGGCCCAAUUAAAAACAAACUGAGGCCCAAACCGAAUAGUGGCCCAAAACUGAUCACCCUAGGGUUUCCAGGAAGCAACAGCGCCGCAACCGAGCCAAGGCCGAAUCUUCCCGAUCUUCACCUGCGAAACAAGGAAAGAAAUCAAACAACAUAUGGAAAAAAUCAUAGAUUUGAGAAUCAAAGAUAUAUCCAGAUUUAUUCUUUCUUUGAUUUGUUUUCAUUCGACUAUAAAAGGACAUCAAAUACAUUGUAAUAGGGAUUGGAAAAAUCGAAUAAAAAUCAAGGCUUUACUUUCGCAACACAGAGAGCAUAGUCGAUUAAAAAGGUUGAUAUUUGCAUUGCUAUUUUUAUUUUCUGUUAUAUAUAUUUUUUUGUUUUUUAUUUAUGUAAUAAUACAAAUAUAAAGGGAAGGAAAACACCUUUAUUUGAGCCCUAACCACCGCGGACGGUCGAGGAAAUCGUCACCGAGGACUGACGAUUGGAAGCCGGAAGGUUUCUUUGCUUCUAGGGGCCCAUUUGUCAAUAUUUCGCGAGAUUUGAGCCCGGAUCUAGGCUCAGGAGGUUAAGAAGGUUAAAAGGGGAAUUUUCC